UUUUAAUAUAUCUAGUUUUUUAAGAAAUUAAUUUAAUUUAGAUAUUUUAUUUUUAAUAUUUUAAUUUUAUUAAUUUAUUAUAAUUAAAUAUUAAUAUUUUAAGGGAUGAGCUUUAAAAUAAAAUUUUAUAAAUAAUUUUAUUAAUUAAUAAUUGUAAGCUUAGAAUUAGUUAUCAAUAGAAAUUAUGUUUUAAUUUAUUUUUUUUUUAAUAUUAUUUAAUAUUUAUUUUAUUUUUUUUUUAUUAAAAUAUAGAUUUUAAUUUUAUAAAUUUAGUAAUAAUGAUAAAAUUAGUAAAUAUAGAAAUAAUAAUAAUAUAUCAAUAAUGAUUGGUUUUUAUAAUUAAUUCGGCAAAUUUUGUGUGUUCACCUGUUUAUCAAAAACAUGUCUUUUUUGAAUUUUAUAUAAAGUCUGACCUGCCCACUGAAUAAAUUUUAAAGGGCCGCAGUAUUUUGACUGUGCAAAGGUAGCAUAAUCAUUAGUCUUUUAAUUGAAGGCUGGUAUGAAUGGUUGGAUGAGAUACAAGCUGUGUCAUAAAAAUUAAAAUUUGAAUUUAACUUUUUAGUUAAAAGGCUAAAAUAAUUUUAAAAGACGAGAAGACCCUAUAGAGCUUUAUAUAAUAAAUAUUUAAAUUAUUAAGAUUUAUUAAAUUUAAUUUUUGUAUUAUAUUUUGUUGGGGUGACAAUAAAAUUUAUAAAACUUUUAUUUUUAUUUUACAUUUAUUUAUGUUUAAAUGAUCCAUUUUUAUUGAUUAUAAAUUUAAGUUACCUUAGGGAUAACAGCGUAAUUUUUUUUGAGAGUUCUUAUCGACAAAAAAGAUUGCGACCUCGAUGUUGGAUUAAGAGUAAUUUUGGGUGUAGCAGUUCAAAGUUUAAGUCUGUUCGACUUUUAGAAUCUUACAU
rnacentral:rRNA from 1 species